AUUCAUAAAUAAAUUCAUAAAAUUCAUAAUCAAAUAUUAUGUUUGAUUUUAAGAAAAAUAAAUAGAAAAAAAAUUCAAAAAUUAGGAUGACAAUUGAUAAUAAUUUCGAUCGACAUGAAAUCCAUGAAAUUACGUGUCAUGUUAUUUGUGCUGCAUCGUUGACAAUAAAGUGAUAAGUAGAAAUUUAAGUAGUUAUGUGAGAAACCGAAAAUUGUUGAAAGACAGUGAAAGGUGUAUUUGUAUGCAUAUGAGAAUUCUCACACUUUCAUUCUGCUUCGCAAAAACUAGUUGUUCGACAUCAUAGAGAAGAGAUCGUGGCGGUAAAGUCGGAAUGGAAAUUCUCAUAAAUUAUUUCGUGCAGUGAAAUCGUUGUUUCAUAAAAUUUUCAUUAAACAAGUGAUACAAUUUCUCUAUUCUUAUUUUCAUGGUAAUAUCGUUCUCUCAUAAUAAUAAUAAUAAUAAUAAUAUUUUUGUGUGAAAUUAAAAUAAAAUGUUGUAUUCACGGGAUAAAUAACAAGUGUUUCUAAGGAUUCUUUUUCUAAAAGAUAAUAGAAGAUACUUUUUUUUCAAAAAAAACUUAAAGUCUUCCUAUUAUUGUUUGCCAAAGAAUAGGAAGAUUCGUGUCUUUGAUUCUAUAUACGAUGAAUCUUUUCCGCUUAAUAUUCCAUUCCACACCUUGCGUGUUUUGUUCGAAUUUACAGUACAGAAGAGGAGAAUAAAAAAUUCCGCGUUUAGAAUGCGCACAUUCGAAAGACGCGUGCCGUCUUUACAUUCGAUUCAUUAGUAGGAAGGUAGUGGGGGUAACGUCGGCUAUCGCCGAUAGACGGCGUGCGGCGGAGCAGUUCAUUUCUGUAAUGGCCGCCGUCUGGCGUUGUCGGUGAAUCGGUCUCUUUCAGAAUCUCGCGAAGAAAAAUUUGCACAACAUUAUCGUUCACGAAAAUCCAGUGUACAGUAAUCCACGUAACAAGAGGUGUGGAGUUCGCUCGUGCAUAGUGCGUAUGGUGGUGUAUAAUUGUGACUCCAGGGUGGACGGUCGAUCGAAAAAAUUCAAAUCGGAUGUGCGUGGUGUCCCACUGUUUACUCGACCCACCGAUCGUUCAGAUUCGUGGUAGAUUAAAAAAAUCGUGCUAGUAAGAGGAAGAAUUGCAGAUCGAGAUCGCACGAUAUGCAAUCGAACAUCAUCGAUCAACGUCGAGUCGUGUCGGAGUCUCGCGAUUCCCUCGAACCGACGUUCGCCUUCGGACAGUAAACAAAAGUGACAGCGUGCGGAUGCCGUUCGGUCAUGCCUCCCGUCUCGUUCGUGUUUGCCGACAGUAUUUGACGUCUUGUUCUUCUGCGAGCUCGAAUUCCCUCACGUGGUUCAAGGUCUUCUAAAAUCAACUUAACGUCACGUUGCCAACAGACCCAGUGAGUUUCAUGCCACUUUCGCGAUCGAAUGUAUUAUCUCGAGUGUGUUGUCACUGACAGCAACGCCGAGCGCGCUUUUCCCGGUUUUCGUUUGUGUUCUCGUGUAUUCUCCAAGGACUUGGUGCCAGAAUUUUCGACACGAAGGACAUCGUAUCUUCAUAGAGCAUAAAGCAAAAGGAAAUCACUGUAUCAAUACAUCAAUCUCGGUUUUGCAGAGAAAUCUCCUUCCGUAUUUCGAGAACGCUCGAAGAGGUGAAGAGAGAUGUGCCAAGUUGCGUCGUUGCGGAUGUUCCACGUGCUCCCCGAGUUCAUCGACGCCUUGUCGCACUGCGUCCCGUGCUAGGACCAUGUCCUAGCGAUACAUUCGACCCGCCCACCCACUGCCAGAGAACAGAGAGCGGCUUAAAAUUUCUUAAAUGUGAUCCGUACAACAACUCGCGACAACGCUCGUCGAACUCGUCGAAUCGUCCCUGAGAUGCCGGCCCUCGAGGACGCAGCUCGCCGAGUGUCGGCGUCACCACAACAAGACUGAGCCACGACCCGUGUAAUGCGGCGC